ensembl:lncRNA
GUUUGCCAGUUCCUCGGGAGAUGGCCACGAUGUAUUUGCCAUUUCCUCAGAGGGGGUGAUGCGGUUGAGAGAGGCGGUUGUUUGAACUGAAGCUGUGAAAACACACCGUGUAACAGUCUGAGCAAGCAGCUAGCGUCUCAAACCAAAGAGCCCACCAGGAGCUUUUCGACCACCCAACGGGCAGUAAAGGUCUUUGCUACCCCUUUUAUUUUAUGUUUCCCCGGGUCUCAGCAGCUGGAGAUUUCUUCGCUUCCUCAAGCAAACACAAGAGGUUCACAAUGGGGUGAUUAGUGCUGUCAAAAUGCCAUCCUCUGCUGAAGUUGGGGGGACUGGGAUAAUAAUCUUGUGAUUCCCCGCCCGAGACUGCUGGAACGCGUCGCUCAUACCCGUCUGCCUGCAAAUGGCACAUACAUUACACGCCCUCGGGAGUCUCGGGCUCGGACGAACUUUCCUCAGCCUCGUACCUCAGCUCCACCACCACCACAAUGUGACGUGGCUUCAAGCUGAAAUUGCGAAGCGGACCUUUCACACUCGGUCACAAAGGAAGCUUGCUUGGCAGGGUGUUCAACCCUCGGCGGGAAACUGAAUGAGACACUUGAGGAGAGGAGUGGAGGGAAAAAAAGCAGCGGAGAGAAACUUGGUGAGAUAGAGGGAGAUAUCAGGCAGCUGGAAAAAAAACAAAAAGGAGAGGAGUGACUGACACCUGCCCUCCAGCUCGGUGUGAAGGGCAUAUAAUGGGAGAGUGAGAGGAAGGGCAUGAGGAGAGGGAAAAGAGAGGAGAGAAUGAAGACAACCGGAAAACAAGGCCUGCCUCAAAGCAAACCUGUCUCCAAUUAGGACAUCUCACCACAAGACAAGAUGAUUACGAGAAAUUUCCUCUUCUUGGUGUCCUUGUGUCUGUGGGAGGGGCUUGCGAGAGGUGCCUCAGCCAGUAAAAUUUUACGGAGGAGAGGAGUGGGCGGAUCGCACGUGGUGAAGCUGGGGGAGAGCCGUUCUAUGGACUCGAACGUGGAUUCGAAUGCAAUGCCCGUGGUGACUCUUCGAAACCUGAUUAGUCACGAGCAGACGAGCGACGCCGGAUCUUUUUCUUACUCCAAGAUGUUGCAGAAUCAUCCUGCCCCAUCUGUAGCUAAU